CUUCCCUUCGGGGCUGUAAAACCUGCCACUUCCCGGAACCGCAGCCCUAGGCACUAAAAUCCAGGCCCUCAGGGGGUCGGGGCAGUUCUCUGUCCACAGCCGGCUUGGGUUUCCAAGAAUGCCUUUCCCCGCCGGAAGGAACGGUCACAGAGUCGGGCAGUUGGAAUGUGAUAGGGAAGAGAGAGGCUAAAGGGAGAGCAAUUCAUCUUCAUGCAGAAACCUACUAAGGCACCUGCGGAAAAGACACAGGACUUGUAAAAGAGAUUGGCGAGAUUGCAAGAGAAAGAUGGAAAAGCCCAACUGCGUUCUGCUUCUGCACACUGGCAGCAGUCACAAGUUUCGAUGAGGAAUGAUGCAGGGGACGCCGGCCUCAGAGACUUGGGACGCCUAGAGAAAAAUCUGGAAGACGACCUGCGGAUCCUGUCGGCGGAACCUACCACACGUGCCCAGCUCACCGACCCGAGGGCUUGGCAUUGCUGAGAUGUUCGUUCUCUUUAACUUGAUCUAUGGAUUUGACCCAGCCCCAAGCGAAACCCCGGAAAUUUACGUAUUUUUUGUAGAAACUGACACACUAGUUAUAGUGGGGGGGGGGAAUAGUACGGAGGGAAUGUCCAGUGUGGCACCGACAGCGUCUGCUCCAGUCACAACACACAGCUGGUCCAUUGUUCACCUCCCCUGGUCUGAGCGGCACAGCGAGGGCACCUGGCGGCCGGCCUCAGGUUGCAGUGGCUCAGUGGCGGUCUCCCGGGAAUUCGCAACUGGUCUGCUGGUGGACCCUCUAUGGCUCCUCACCAGUGGCCUUGCCGGGGAGCUGAGCACUUCAUCUGCAGUCACCAGGAAGACCAAGCCUCUGAGUUGUCUCUGGUGCAAUAGUUUCUAUUUUAUAGAAAACGCACGCGGUAGCUGAACACCAUGUAUCUCUUUAAUAAAUAAAGCCAACUGCUGGAAUAUUUCA